GUUCGCCAAAUAACUACGAGUAAAAACUUAAAAUUUAAAAGACUUGACGGUACUUCACACCAACCUAGAGGAGCCUGUCCAAUAACCGAUAAUCCACGAUCAACCCAACCCGUUCUAGCCUAACAGUCUAUAUACCGCCGUCGCCAGCUUACCUUGUGAAAGAAAUAAAGUAAGCCUAAUAACACUACAUUAAUACGACAGGUCGAGGUGUAACUAAUGAACUGGUAAAGAUGGGCUACAUUUUCUAACUCAGAAAACACGAAUAAACUAUGAAACUAGAAACUGAAGGCGGAUUUAGCAGUAAGCUAAGAACAGAAUACUAAGCCGAAAUAAACGCAAUGAAGUGCGCACACACCGCCCGUCAUCCCUGUAAAACACACAAAACAUCCAUAAACACACUAUCUAUACCAAGCAGGGCAAGUCGUAACAAGGUAAGUGUA
rnacentral:rRNA from 1 species